ensembl:lncRNA
GGGAGGCCGGUGCCCGGGGGGCCGGGUGGGGCUUGUCCUCACCGCUAUCACCGGGCCCCAGGAGGCUGUCGUGGGCUCAGCCCGGAGGACCUGCGAGUCCCUGCUGCACGGUCACACGACCUGUGACAGGCCUCCCACUCCACUCCCAGCUGCGCGAGAUCCUGGCCAAGGCCUCUCUGGGCCACAAGAGGAAAAGCCUGUUUGGGAUCGACUGGCUGCCGGGGGCAGGGGUCUUCAGCGCAGCCUCCCCUGAACGAUCCAUGCUCCCACCGUCCCAGCUGCUGAAGCCCUUUCUUGCCUCAAGGACAGCAAGUGUGAGAGCCAUGCUGGGGAGCUGUGCCUGCCUUGUACACUGACUGGGGGACACAGAGGAGAGGCCACCCACGGUCACAGUGGACCCGGGCAGGGGACAGGGCAUUGGGCAGGUCGUGCGGCUAUGCAGACCUCUCCAGGGCUCAGCCCAGCCAUGGAGACCAGGCCCACCCAGACCACCCAGAGGCGACGCCAGUAUCCCUGAGGGUUCUACGCAGGCUGGCCCCGUGUCUCCUGAGGUGGGUGUGUGGUUGGAGGGGCUCCCAGGUGCCAGGCCCAGGGCAGAGCUGGGGGUAGAGGUGAGCAUGGAGCCCCGCCCCCCAGCCCCCAGGGGUCACGGAGGGCCCCGGGACUGGGCUGGAAGACUGGCAGGUAGAUAUGUGUGCUCCCGGGCAGACACAAGUGGGCAGGUGUGUCCUUCCGUCAAUUGUAUUGGCACGUGCCCUCGUUUCUCACAAUAGUGUCAACGUUUCUUAUCGUGAGCAAGUGACAGAGGCUAGCUUUUAUCUUAAUAUACAGUUGAAAUGUCAAAGUUAUCUCAAGAAUUAUCAUUGCAUACACUUUUUAAAAGAAAUGCUGGGCCUGGCAAAGACAGCGGGGAGACAGAGGGCAGGGCUGGGGUGAAGGCAGGCACGUGAGUGGUGGAGACAGCUUGGAGCUGUGCCCCCUCUGCCCGGUCUGCCCCUCUGGCUGCUCUCCCUCACCUGCGCCCUGGUCCAGAGAGGAGGGUGGGCAGGCGAGGGUGGAGGGCAGUCCCCUGCUCCCUGGUCCGGCCACACCCCUCUGGGGAGCCCCGCUCGGCACCAUGCAAGGUUGAGCACCCUGUGCGUUACUCACCCAG